rnacentral:rRNA from 1 species
GACGAACGCUGGCGGCGCGCCUAAUACAUGCAAGUCGAGCGCAGGAAGUCAUCCGAACCCUUCGGGGGGACGUUGACGGAAUGAGCGGCGGACGGGUGAGUAACACGUAAAGAACCUGCCCUCAGGUCUGGGAUAACCACGAGAAAUCGGGGCUAAUACCGGAUGGGUCAUCGGACCGCAUGGUCCGAGGAUGAAAGGCGCUCCGGCGUCGCCUGGGGAUGGCUUUGCGGUGCAUUAGCUAGUUGGUGGGGUAAUGGCCCACCAAGGCGACGAUGCAUAGCCGACCUGAGAGGGUGAUCGGCCACACUGGGACUGAGACACGGCCCAGACUCCUACGGGAGGCAGCAGUAGGGAAUCUUCCACAAUGGACAAAAGUCUGAUGGAGCAACGCCGCGUGAACGAUGAAGGCCCUCGGGUCGUAAAGUUCUGUUGUAAGGGAAGAACAAGUGCCGCAGGCAAUGGCGGCACCUUGACGGUACCUUGCGAGAAAGCCACGGCUAACUACGUG